rnacentral:rRNA from 1 species
AUUGAACGCUGGCGGCAGGCCUAACACAUGCAAGUCGAGCGGAUGAAGGGAGCUUGCUCCUGGAUUCAGCGGCGGACGGGUGAGUAAUGCCUAGGAAUCUGCCUGGUCGUGGGGGAUAACGUCCGUAAACGGGCGCUAAUACCGCAUACGUCCUGAGGGAGAAAGUGGGGGAUCUUCGGACCUCACGCUAUCAGAUGAGCCUAGGUCGGAUUAGCUAGUUGGUGGGGUAAAGGCCUACCAAGGCGACGAUCCGUAACUGGUCUGAGAGGAUGAUCAGUCACACUGGAACUGAGACACGGUCCAGACUCCUACGGGAGGCAGCAGUGGGGAAUAUUGGACAAUGGGCGAAAGCCUGAUGCAGCCACGCCGCGUGUGUGAAGAAGGUCUUCGGAUUGUAAAGCACUUUAAGUUGGGAGGAAGGGCAGUAAGUUAAUACCUUGCUGUUUUGACGUUACCAACAGAAUAAGCACCGGCUAACUUCGUG